rnacentral:rRNA from 1 species
UACAGAGGUCUCAAGCGUUGUUCGGAUUCAUUGGGCGUAAAGGGUGCGUAGGCGGCGCGGUAAGUCAGGUGUGAAAUCUCGGGGCUCAACCCCGAAACUGCACUUGAUACUGCCUUGCUAGAGUACUGGAGAGGAGAUUGGAAUUUACGGUGUAGCAGUGAAAUGCGUAGAUAUCGUAAGGAAGACCAGUGGCGAAGGCGAAUCUCUGGACAGUUACUGACACUGAGGCACGAAGGCCAGAGGAGCAAACGGG